rnacentral:lncRNA from 1 species
UGUAAUCAGCUUGAAACAUAGAUUUGUUUACUAAAAGAAACAAAAUACACGUUCUAAACAUCCAUUCUUAAUAUUACAUCAACUCAAAACAGAAAAUUCAACCAUCUUAAAAUACAAAAGAAAACGUGACUCCAAUAUAUACACAUAGUGAUGGAUUUUCCCAAAACAACUUUCUAAUUCCAUCCAAUCACUUUUCAAUCUCCAACUCCUGUAAGGAAAACAAAGCUAAAAGGGUGAGCUUACGCCCGUGAGGUUUCCAUGCAAGCAACAAUCAAUAAGCACUUAAAUCAGUACAAUUAAGCAAGUAGUACACAUUUCAUUGUACAAUCACUUUUAAAAGAAUACGGUGCUCGCAUUAGAGCCACUUCAAUGCACUACACACUCCACCGAACUCCUCCUUAUAACCUCCAAAAUAAUAAACACUUCCCUCACUUGGAUGGCCAUAUCAAUAUCAGUAAUCUGCUACUCUGUGGUAAUACUCGAGUAUACCAAACACUUACCCAAAGCUACCGUCCUACCCGAUCAAGCCCUUUGCUGGCUCGAAUAGUCCGUUGAACAGAAGGUUUUGGGGCCCAGUUCAGCCAGUGUGAUAAAGUACACACAUGGCUUACAAUCAUGCACACUUACAAUAACACUUGAUCAAUUAUCAACCUUCAAUCUCACCUAAAUCGAGUGCGAUAAAGUACACUCUCGACUUAGAAGGUAAGGGACAAUUGAAAACACUUCACAAUGAAUCACUUAGCAAUAUUUCAUAAUAAGCAUAUUUGCCAUAUAAUUGCACUUAGGUACACAUAAGCAGUUUAACACAUAAAUUCGGAAAACACUUACCAAAGAUUAAAAUGACUACUCUCGAGUCUCGAGUUGGUUUCCUGGUUCACGGCUACUUCUUGGUACAAGUUAAUAAUUCUACAGUGAAUAUUCAUUUUAUAUACAACCACUCAUCUUACAUACUAUAAGGUUUAAGUAACUAAAAUCCAAGUUCCUAAGCUUAUAAAACGAAUCACCAAAAUCUCGCAACCUUCCUUACGUUUGUCUUCAAGAUUAUUAAGUUUGGUAGCUUUAAAACAAGGUUAAUGUAUAUAUACACCAAAUUUUAAUAUCAUAUAAAACACUUGAGCUAAGAUUCAAUCAUUUCCAAUCUAAUAUGCAAAGAUUAAGACAAACAAACGUUUCAUUUCUUCCGUCUAGGCUAAAACAGAUUCUAGUUUGACUUUAAAGUACAAAUAUAAUAUAUUCAAUAUUCAUUUAUCAUUUUAUUUUGAAACUUAUUGACUUUAUUGUUUUAAUCAAGAAUUAUACCUGUUUUCCCAAGUUAAUAAUUUAUAAGAUAUUUAUUUUAGAAUUAAAUCAUUUUCCAUUCAAGAUUCUAAGAUUUUAAGUUAACCUAGAACUCCAUUAGUCUAAUUUAAGACAGUCCCAGUCGAUCCCUAAUCUACCUUAGCACUCGGGCGAAGCAUCUUUUCACUUCCUGCAGUCGCUUUCACUUUUUGCAGUCGCUGCCUCUUCACUUCUAGAUUUCAAAAGUUAGCCUUGGUCCCUUCGAUCCUACUUCCCCAAGUUUAAUCAUGAUUCCUAUUCACAUCAUAAUGCAAUAUACUAAAUCCUAUCAAAUUUGCAAAUAUACCAACGAAUGAAAAAUAUUUCGUACUCGAAUACAAGAAUCCGAAAAUAGGAUAAUUCACAACUCAAGCCGACUGGUCCCAAGAGUAAAUCAUCCAUAUUUGAGAUUCCUACCCGACGUACAUAUCUAAUUUUUUUUCCUCAAUAAUGAUAAUUCAUUUCACACUUAACAGGCCAUUCCCCACAAUCCGAGAAUCCUCUCCUGGCAUGAGAUUAUUAAGAGCUCUGAUACCACCUGUGCGACCCCACCUUCUCCUAGGGCCUACCCUAGAAGUUAGCGGAUCGUCUGCCUGUCUCUCGUCAGGACUCACUCACUUACAUUAACUUCAGAGAUAACAUUAUUAUUGAACAACUGAACAUUCACUCUUAAAUACCACUGUAAUCAGCUUGAAACAUAGAUUUGUCCACUAAAAGAAACAAAAUACACGUUCUAAACAUCCAUUCUUAAUAUUACAUCAACUCAAAACAGAAAAUUCAACCAUCUUAAAAUACAAAAGAAAACGUGACUCCAAUAUAUACACAUAGUGAUGGAUUUUCCCAAAACAACUUUCCAAUUCCAUCCAAUCACUUUUCAAUCUCCAACUCCUGUAAGGAAAAAAAAGCUAAAAGGGUGAGCUUACGCCCGUGAGGUUUCCAUGCAAGCAACAAUCAAUAAGCACUUAAAUCAGUAUAAUUAAGCAAGUAGUGCAGAUUUCACUGUACAAUCACUUUUAAAAGGAUACGGUAGCUCGCAUUAGAGCCACUUCAAUGCACUACAUACUCCACCAAACUCCUCCUUAUAACCUUCAAAAUAAUAAACACUUCCCUCACUUGGAUGGCCAUAUCAAUAUCAGUAAUCUGCUACUCCGUGGUAAUACUCGAGUAUACCGAACACUUACCCAAAGCUACCGUCCUACCUGACCAAGCCCUUUGCUGGCUCGAAUAGUCCGUUGAAUAGAGGGUUUUGGGGUCCAGUUCAGCCAGUGUGAUAAAGUACACACAUGGCUUACAGUCAUGCACACUUACAAUAUCACUUGAUCAAUUAUCAACCUUCAAACUCAACUAAACCGAGUGCGAUAAGGUACACUCUCGACUUAGAAGGCGAGGGACAAUUGAAAACACUUCACAAUGAAUCACUUAGCAAUAUUUCAUAAUAAGCACAUUUGCCAUAUAAUUGCACUUAGGUACACAUAAGCAGUUUAACACAUAAAUUCAGAAAACACUUACCAAAGAUUCAAAUGACUACUCUCAAGUCUCGAGUUGGUUUCCUGGUUCACGGCUACUUCCUGGUACAAGUUAAUAAUUCUAAAGUAAAUAUUCAUUUUAUACACAACCACUCAUCUUACAUACUUUAAGGUUUAAGUAACUAAAAUCCAAGUUCCUAAGCUUAUAAAACGAAUCACCAAAAUCUCGCAACCUUCCUUACGUUUGUCUUCAAGAUUAUUAAGUUUGGUAGCUUUAAAACAAGGUUAAUGUAUAUAUACACCAAAUUUUAUUAUCAUAUAAAACACUUGAGUUAAGAUUCACUCAUUUCCAAUCUAAUGUGCAAAGAUUAAGACAAGCAAACGUUUCAUUUCUUCCGUCUAGGCUAAAACAGAUUCCAGUUUGACUUUAAAGUACAAAUAUAAUAUAUUCAAUAUUCAUUUAUCAUUUUAUUUUGAAACUUAUUGACUUUAUUGUUUUAAUCAAGAAUUAUACCUGUUUUCCCAAGUUAAUAAUUUAUAAGAUAUUUAUUUUAGAAUUAAAUCAUUUUCCAUUCAAGAUUCUAAGAUUGUGGUUUAGGAGUACUUCAUUGGUCCCCCUUUUUAAUUAAUUAAACUCUAGGUUAUUUGUAAGUUGAAUUUUAUUCUACUACACCAGUCCCUCAAAUUUUAUAGUCUUUAAAAUAUUUGUGAAGACAAUAUUAAGUAAUUAGAAGCCAAUUUAGGUACAUAAUUAUCAUGAGUUUUCCUCUCAUUUGCUUUAGUUUAACUCUACUUGUGGAGCUGUAUAUAGCCAUUAAAUCUCAGGGUAACCGUAGCUAUCAUUUAUGAAAGCUUACGAAGUUGGAAAUUAGAGGAAAUACUGGUUCGAAGUUGGUUCCUCAUGGCCAUUAUCAAAGCAAAGUGCAUUCGGGAACAAAAGGAAAGGCAAGGAGAAAGGCAGCUUUGCCAUCCUCAGGUAUUCUGAUCAUAACUGGAGCUAUACUUAUCGGAUUGAGGUAAAUUUUAUAGCGUUUCGAAGCUAAGACAUAGAUCUAUAUUUCUUCUGAAGACAUCGACAUCCAGUUAUCGCGUUUUCAAGGCCAAAAGGGGACGGUCAGAAGCACAAUCUGUUUCAUUUUCUCGGACAGCAACCAAAACUAGUAACGCUACUUCAAGCUUUCGACGAAAACUCUAUUCUUUCACUUGCUUAAAGCUCUAAAUAUUUAAAGUACAUUUAGUCCAGCAUAUACCAAGGCAAAUAACAUCUAGUUUCAACAAAUUAUUCAACCCAAAAGCUACGCACAACAAUCUGUCAUCAGCUAUUGCAUUGUAUAACUAAAGUUUCCAGCAGAGUAGCAGUUUAAUAUGUAACAUUUACCAUAACUCCUUCAGUUUUAACUCCAGCUCAUCAUAUUAAAGAUGAUUCUCCAGCUACAGAGUAAUCUUGAUCAUCAAUAUAAAAAUUUACAGCCAAAAAGCUGAUCUAAAGUGUAUUUCUCUCUCUUGGUCAUGCUGGAACAAUUUUUUUUGUAUAGCAAUCAGCUUUUAAGCAAGAACUCUCUCAUUAACUACUUCAUUUCCUACUCCAAUAUAACAUGCAAUCACCUAAACACUGAAGUGAAAACAUGCAUGCUAAAACUAAAAGAUUAUGCAAGGUAUUCAGCUUCAACGUAGGAAUUUGGAACCCAGAAAUCUGUCAAGAAAUCUGGAAAAUUUUCUUUCUUCAUCUCUCGGCUAGCUAGACAGAACCACCAGUUAAUUCUUGCAAAAAUUCUCACUCAACUAUCAUCUUUGCUCUGGAUUCUCAGAUAAAACAAGAGAGUAAACAUAUAGCUUAACUCCUAGAAGAAAAUUUCCUCCAUAAAUUCGAAUACUAAGCUGCAAACCUGCUCUUUUCCUCGGCCAUAGCAGAAUUUUCUUUCCAGCAAAUGGUCAAUCAUUAAUCAAGAUUUCUUCAACCAAACUCACUUUUCUUAGCUAAAAUCUAACAUGCAACUUGAAUAAUCAGAGAUAUUAGAAGAAUAAGAUGGUUAUGAUGAUUUUACCUCCCUUUUUCCUCACAAUCAAAGCUGGAAAAGAAGAAAAAAGCAAGCAGUCCCCUUCCUCCUUCUCCUCCUUCGAUUCCUUAUGGUGAAAUGCUCCCAAGCUUCCCCCUUUUUUCUACCUUGCCCUCUUAUUCACUCGGUUGUGGCUGGAAAGGAAAGAAUGGAACCAGAAAUCUCUCUCUCUCUCACUCUCUCGGUUGGUCUUGAAGUCAGGCAAGAAAAUGAGCUAAGUCCUCACUUUUCUCUCGGUUGUUCUUCUUUGCUCUUAGCAAAUUGAUA